UGGUUUUUCCUCAUUUCAACUUAGGCCAGAUACGUUUACAACUUUACAUAUAGUCUAUACCGGAUAGCUUUUCGUAGCGGCGCGAAAAAGCACCUGCCCGAUACUCGAUACAGAAUGUACAACUUUCAGAAGCUGAGCGAAACAACAUCGACAUCUCUCCGUUGCAAUAAUUCAUCUGGGCUCUGAAAAUAGCGCUCUAAACAUAGAUAU